GAGAAAUCCUGUCUGAACAUGGGGGGACCAUCCUCCAAGGCUAAAUACUCGUAAUCGACCGAUAGUGAACCAGUACCGUGAGGGAAAGGCGAAAAGAACCCCGGGAGGGGAGUGAAAUAGAUCCUGAAACCGUGUGCAUACAAACAGUCGGAGCGGACUUGUUCCGUGACGGCGUACCUUUUGUAUAAUGGGUCAGCGACUUACAUUCAGUGGCGAGGUUAA
rnacentral:rRNA from 1 species